UACACGACUCUUAUCUGCUUUUGAUAGAUGAGAAUCUGAGGCUUAGGAGAAGGAAAGUAACUCAUGGUUCCAGAGCUGGGAAGACUUGAUGGGAAACCUUCAGCAGAGACACAGAUGAGGGUGGAAGACCAGAUCGCCUCUAUGUCUGGUUCUGGCCAGCCUGAAGUCUGAGGGGUGGGGUAGGGUUCUGAUACUGAUGCAUCCCACUCCUAGUCUGCAAGAGAUUAAGAUUGCAGGGGGAGACCAGAGGAGACGGGGUGCAGGGGUUGAAAUGUGUAAGUUCUCUUCUGCCCCUAGCCUUUCCUAUAUCUGUGACUAAAUUUG